CUACGGGGCGCACCAGCGAGGAAUAUUGCACAAUGGGGGGAACCCUGAUGCAGCAACGCCGCGUGGAGGAUGACGCAUUUCGGUGUGUAAACUCCUUUUAUAUGUCAAGAAAAUGACGGUAGCAUAUGAAUAAGCGCCGGCUAACUCCGUGCCAGCAGCCGCGGUAAUACGGAGGGUGCAAGCGUUACUCGGAAUCACUGGGCGUAAAGGACGCGUAGGCGGGUUGGAAAGUCAGGUGUGAAAUCCUACAGCUUAACUGUAGAACUGCACUUGAAACUUCUAAUCUAGAGUAUGGGAGGGGGAGAUGGAAUUAGUGGUGUAGGGGUAAAAUCCGUAGAUAUCACUAGGAAUACCUAAAGCGAAGGCGAUCUCCUGGAACAUUACUGACGCUAAGGCGUGAAAGCGUGGGGAGCAAACAGGAUUAGAUACCCCCGUAGUC
rnacentral:rRNA from 1 species